rnacentral:lncRNA from 1 species
CACGCCUCUUUGCCCAGGCCCCGAGGCUGAGGAGGAGCCCUGCCUCCUGCCAGGGUGUGACCGAGCUGGGGGCUGGGGUCCUUGGGGGCCGUGGUCCAGCUGUAGCCGGAGCUGUGGGGGAGGCCUGCGGAGCCGGACCCGAGCCUGCGACCAGCCCCCGCCCCAGGGCCUGGGGGAUUACUGCGAGGGGCCUCGGGCCCAGGGGGAGACCUGCCAGGUUCUGCCAUGCCCAGUGACCAACUGCACGGCCAUUCAAGGGGCCGAGUACAGCCGCUGUGGCCCUCCCUGUCCACGCUCCUGUGAUGACCUAGUGACUGUUUGCUGAGUGACUGCCCAGGACCAUGGAGAGGGACCGAGGCAUCUCCGUGUCCUGUGGAGCCUGCAUCGUGGUGGCGAAGCUGACCCGGAUCAAAGAUGCCCAGAGCCGUGGAGGAGGGAUGGUGCUGUGGGGGCCCUGUCUAAGGAGGUUGGGGAGGCUCCACACAGACAGAGGGAGGAGGAAGGGGUGGUGCCUGGCUCCCGGCCUCCCCCACAGGACCCAGCUCCUUCCCAAAUGGCCUCCCUCUCCCACCAGCCUUCUGGUCCCCUGCUCUCUAAGUUCUGGGGAGGUCCGGGAGAUACCCAGGUUCCCCCUGAACCCUCCGUGGGGUUCACAUUUGGAGAACACUCCCACCCAGGGAAGCUCCUCACAGGCUCUCCUCCCCAUCCCGUCUCCUCCCCUGGGGAGGGGCCACGGCAG